GGAUGGAUGUCUGAGCGGUUGAAAGAGUCGGUCUUGAAAACCGAGUAUUGAUAGGAAUACCGGGGGUUCGAAUCCCUCUCCAUCCG
rnacentral:tRNA from 1 species